rnacentral:rRNA from 2 species
AAUGGGCGCAAGCCUGAUGGAGCAACACCGCGUGAGUGAAGAAGGGUUUCGGCUCGUAAAGCUCUGUUGUUGGAGAAGAACGUGCGUGAGAGUAACUGUUCACGCAGUGACGGUAUCCAACCAGAAAGUCACGGCUAACUACGUGCCAGCAGCCGCGGUAAUACGUAGGUGGCAAGCGUUAUCCGGAUUUAUUGGGCGUAAAGCGAGCGCAGGCGGUUGCUUAGGUCUGAUGUGAAAGCCUUCGGCUUAACCGAAGAAGUGCAUCGGAAACCGGGCGACUUGAGUGCAGAAGAGGACAGUGGAACUCCAUGUGUAGCGGUGGAAUGCGUAGAUAUAUGGAAGAACACCAGUGGCGAAGGCGGCUGUCUGGUCUGCAACUGACGCUGAGGCUCGAAAGCAUGGGUAGCGAACAGGAUUAGAUACCCUGGUAGUCCAUGCCGUAAACGAUGAGUGCUAGGUGUUGGAGGGUUUCCGCCCUUCAGUGCCGGAGCUAACGCAUUAAGCACUCCGCCUGGGGAGUACGACCGCAAGGUUGAAACUCAAAGGAAUUGACGGGGGCCCGCACAAGCGGUGGAGCAUGUGGUUUAAUUCGAAGCUACGCGAAGAACCUUACCAGGUCUUGACAUCUUGCGCUAACCUAAGAGAU